rnacentral:sRNA from 1 species
UCAAUUUUGCUGCCAUCGGUGUAUAUG